AUGAACGCUGGCGGCGUGCUUAACACAUGCACGUCGAACGGGAAACCUUUUAUUGAAGCUUCGGCAGAUUUAGCUGGUUUCUAGUGGCGGACGGGUGAGUAACGCGUGGGUAACCUGCCUUAUACAGGGGGAUAACAACCAGAAAUGGUUGCUAAUACCGCAUAAGCGCACAGGACCGCAUGGUCCGGUGUGAAAAACUCCGGUGGUAUAAGAUGGACCCGCGUUGGAUUAGCUAGUUGGCAGGGUAACGGCCUACCAAGGCGACGAUCCAUAGCCGGCCUGAGAGGGUGAACGGCCACAUUGGGACUGAGACACGGCCCAGACUCCUACGGGAGGCAGCAGUGGGGAAUAUUGCACAAUGGGGGAAACCCUGAUGCAGCGACGCCGCGUGAAGGAAGAAGUAUCUCGGUAUGUAAACUUCUAUCAGCAGGGAAGAUAGUGACGGUACCUGACUAAGAAGCCCCGGCUAACUACGUG
rnacentral:rRNA from 1 species